AUGCACGCUGGCGGCGUGCCUAAUACCUGCCAGUCGAGCGAACAGACGAGGAGCUUGCUCCUCUGACGUUAGCGGCGGACGGGUGAGUAACACGUGGAUAACCUACCUAUAAGACUGGGAUAACUUCGGGAAACCGGAGCUAAUACCGGAUAAUAUAUUGAACCGCAUGGUUCAAUAGUGAAAGACGGUUUUGCUGUCACUUAUAGAUGGAUCCGCGCCGCAUUAGCUAGUUGGUAAGGUAACGGCUUACCAAGGCAACGAUGCGUAGCCGACCUGAGAGGGUGAUCGGCCACACUGGAACUGAGACACGGUCCAGACUCCUACGGGAGGCAGCAGUAGGGAAUCUUCCGCAAUGGGCGAAAGCCUGACGGAGCAACGCCGCGUGAGUGAUGAAGGUCUUCGGAUCGUAAAACUCUGUUAUUAGGGAAGAACAAAUGUGUAAGUAACUAUGCACGUCUUGACGGUACCUAAUCAGAAAGCCACGGCUAACUACGUG
rnacentral:rRNA from 1 species